rnacentral:rRNA from 1 species
AAGAUGAGAUUUCCCAACUUCGGUUAUAAGAUCCCUCGAAGAUGACGAGGUUAAUAGGUUCGAGGUGGAAGCGUGGUGACACGUGGAGCUGACGAAUACUAAUCGAUCGAAGACUUAAUCAA